GCAUAUACAUGCAAACGUCCACUUCGUCUAUCUGGUAUUUGCUGAUUCGAAAACGUGUGUGUGUGUGUGUGUGUGUGUGUGUGUGUGUGUGUGUGUGUGUGUGUGUGUGUGUGUGUGUGUGUGUGUGUGUGUGUGUGUGUGUGUGUGUGUGUGUGUGUGUUGUGCUUUAUUAAAUGGCUACACUUGCACUUGAGAUUCUUGAACGUUUGUUUCCGGCCUUCGGUAUGCUUCUGCUGAGCUAAUUGCGCACUGUGCUAGACUUCUGGACUUUAAACUGAAGAGGAGUUGUUAUAAUUGCAGCGCUUCAUUAGCACUUUUGAUCAUUGUUUGUACCCAAAGCCAAUGUUAAAGUAGUUAUUAAAACUUGAAUGUAUUCUUCUAAAGCAAUCAAUUAAGGAUUGUGGGAGUUUUUUAUUUGCUGUCAAACAAAACACACAAAGUUAUUCAGGGUUUUGGUAAGGGUUUUGUGUCCCUGUCAUAUCAACUAUGUUUAAAUGCUGUUCCUCUUUGAUUCGAAAUGAAAUGUAUGAAAAACAUUUAAUAAAUACGUCCCAUGCUAAAUAAAUCUCCUGUAAUCAAUGGUGAAAUGUUGUGUUCACAUAGAGCAGCUUUAAUAAAGACAACCAAGCCAUGAAGGUAACAGUAUAUUUAGAUAUCGCUUGAUCGGUACUGGAUGAAUCUCUACACAUUAACACGUAACGAGAGUCCCACUAAGGAAACGCGACUCAACCAUCACAGGGAGUGACGCAGACCGUCACUACUGUAAGGUAAAAGGAACGGGAAAGCCUCGUUACUUUUGAUCUCAACAGGCUACAAAGCACCAUCUGAAGAAAAUCAGCCAUGGAUGAUUUUUGCAUGAACUCCAAAAGCUCAGAUAAACUCUGAUCGCAGUAUUUGCCAUCCCGGGCUUCAGGGCGCCUUCAGAGCUGCUCUCCGGUGGAACCCAGCUCAUCCGGUUCAACCUGCACGGGCCUCAUUCCUCGCUGAAUGCAGGACUUGUAUGAACCUCCACUAUAUAAAGAGUCGCAAGGCGUUAAAGUCACUCAGUCUAGACACGGACCGCAUAAGGAAGGAUCUCCGCCAGGACUUUGAGAAGAGAGCUGCAAGUCUUACGCCACUAAGAAGAUUCUGGAGUCUUGUUGAUUAAGUGGUUCUUAACAGUUCAACAGUUCAUUUCCAAAAUUGUGAAAUGUUUAGGACCACUUAACCAAUCAGACAAUUGCUUCGAGUAAUAGCUGGCGACCUGUGGUUUAGGAAAACCCCAUCGUCACAUGUCUGAGGCCUACGGACACGAAACGAAGCACUUUUUACAUUGACUUGAAUUAUCUUCUGGAGCAGGCUGAGCAACUGCUACUGAGUUUGUAUUGGAUUGUAAAUUACUGGACCAACAAUAAAUCGACAAAGACUAA